GCACAAGCGGUGGAGCAUGUGGUUUAAUUCGACGCAACGCGCAGAACCUUACCAGCCCUUGACAUCCCGGUCGCGGACUCCAGAGAUGGAGUUCUUCAGUUCGGCUGGACCGGAGACAGGUGCUGCAUGGCUGUCGUCAGCUCGUGUCGUGAGAUGUUGGGUUAAGUCCCGCAACGAGCGCAACCCCCGUCCUUAGUUGCUACCAUUUAGUUGAGCACUCUAAGGAGACUGCCGGUGAUAAGCCGCGAGGAAGGUGGGGAUGACGUCAAGUCCUCAUGGCCCUUACGGGCUGGGCUACACACGUGCUACAAUGGCGGUGACAAUGGGAUGCGAAGACGCAAGUCCUAGCAAAUCUCAAAAAGCCGUCUCAGUUCGGAUUGGGCUCUGCAACUCGAGCCCAUGAAGUUGGAAUCGCUAGUAAUCGUGGAUCAGCACGCCACGGUGAAUACGUUCCCGGGC
rnacentral:rRNA from 1 species